CAUACAGCGGCAGAAGACAAAGGAAGAGGAAGUCAGCAUCUCAUCACAUUCAUGAUUCACACACUGCCAGGAACCACCUGAAACACACACCGAUUGCCUCAGACCUGUGUAGAGCUAAAUCUGAUGACAACAGAGAAGAUCAUUGAAUAAGAGAGAAGAAUGAAGAUGAUCUGGACUUUCACUCUGCUGAAGAUUCCUGAUGCAAUGACCUCCUUGAGUGUGACUGAACAUUCAGGGGGUGGAAUCAACAUCACUUGCAUAUAUCAAGACAAACAUACUGGAAAUUCAAAGUAUUUUUGUAAAGGACCGUGAUUAACAUUCUCUAAUCUCGUCAAGACUUAUGAGAAAAACAAAUGGGUUGAUUCCGGAUGAUUCUCUCUGUGUGAUGACACAAGAGAAGCAGUUUUCACUGUGACCAUCAGAGAUCUAAGUGAACGAGAUUCUGGGGCGCACCAGUGUGGAGUUAAAAAAAUUAGGAAUUGAUUCCUACACUGAAGUGAAUCUGAACGUUAGCACAAAAACCACCACCCUCAGUAUCAUCAUCAUCAUCAAUAAUCACAACUCAUCAC